rnacentral:ncRNA from 1 species
GUAUUGUCGGCCUGUCGCUGCAAAUUCAGCGAACGGGCGUAGGAACCCGGGAA